GACGAACGCUGGCGGCGUGCUUAACACAUGCAAGUCGAACGGAAAGGCCCUGCUUUUGUGGGGUGCUCGAGUGGCGAACGGGUGAGUAACACGUGGGUAACCUGCCCUUGACUUUGGGAUAACUUCAGGAAACUGGGGCUAAUACCGGAUAGGAGCUCCUGCUGCAUGGUGGGGGUUGGAAAGUUUCGGCGGUUGGGGAUGGGCUCGCGGCUUAUCAGCUUGUUGGUGGGGUAGUGGCUUACCAAGGCUUUGACGGGUAGCCGGCCUGAGAGGGUGACCGGCCACAUUGGGACUGAGAUACGGCCCAGACUCCUACGGGAGGCAGCAGUGGGGAAUAUUGCACAAUGGGCGGAAGCCUGAUGCAGCAACGCCGCGUGCGGGAUGACGGCCUUCGGGUUGUAAACCGCUUUCGCCUGUGACGAAGCGUGAGUGACGGUAAUGGGUAAAGAAGCACCGGCUAACUACGUG
rnacentral:rRNA from 1 species